rnacentral:rRNA from 1 species
UGCUCCUUGUGAAACAUAAAUAAGGAGUCGGACCUGCCCAGUGAAUAUUUUAACGGCCGCGGUACUCUGACCGUGCAAAGGUAGCAUAAUCAUUUGCCUUAUAAUUGAAGGCUUGUAUGAAUGGUUUGACAAGAAUAAAGCUGUCUCUUUACAAAUAAGUAUAAUUUUAUUUACAGGUGAAGAAGCCUGUAUUAUAUUGAAAGACAAGAAGACCCUAUCGAGCUUUAAAUAAACUAAUAAAAAGUAAAUUGUAUUUAUAUUGAGUUAGUUAUUAAAAAUUUUAGUUGGGGCGACUAAGGAACAAUCAAAGCUUCCUAAAAAAUUCUAAGUGCUUUCAAGUUGUGAUCCAAAAAUUUUGAUUAAAGGAAUUAGUUACCGUAGGGAUAACAGCAUUAUCUUUUUUAAGAGUUCAAAUCGAAAAAAAGGUUUGUGACCUCGAUGUUGGACCAGAAUAUCCUGAAGAUGCAGCCGUCUUCAAGGGUUGGUCUGUUCGACCAUUAAAAUUCUACGUGAUCUGAGUUCAGACCGGCGUGAGCCAGGUCAGUUUCUAUCUUCAAUUUUUAAUGUGGACCUAGUACGAAAGGAUUGGUCUAUAAUAAUAAUUGUUUUUCCUGAUGUAGUAUAAAAACUUAUUAAGUUAUUAGGUAGAAGAAAUCAAAUUAGCAAAGAUAAUGCAAUUGACUUAGGAUCAAUAGACAUAGGUGAAAUUCCUUUAUUUGAUAUAAAUAUAAAGGUGGCAGAUUAA